rnacentral:rRNA from 1 species
AACAAACGCUGGCGGCGUGCCUAAUACAUGCAAGUCGAACGGGUAGCAAUACCAGUGGCGCACGGGUGAGGAAUACAUAGAUAAUCUGCCUUCGAGUCGGGGAUAACCAGUCGAAAGAUUGGCUAAUACCGGAUAAGACCACAGGAUCUGCGGAUCUAGGGGUUAAAGGUUUUUCGCUUGAAGAUGAGUCUAUGCGAGAUUAGCUAGUUGGUGAGGUAAUGGCUCACCAAGGCGACGAUCUCUAACUGGUCUUAGAGGAUGAUCAGUCACACUGGAACUGAGACACGGUCCAGACUCCUACGGGAGGCAGCAGUAGGGAAUAUUGCGCAAUGGGGGAAACCCUGACGCAGCGACGCCGCGUGAGUGAUGAAGGCCUUCGGGUCGUAAAGCUCUGUCGUAUGGGAAUAACACAAUGAAUGUACCAUGCAAGAAAGGAUCGGCUAACUUCGUGCCAGCCGCCGCAGUAACAC